UGUUUGUUGCUGUUAUUGAACUCGAAAAAUUUAUCGUUCAACUGGUGACACAAAUAAUGUUUUCGGGACUAUUCAAUCAAGAAAAACCAUGCUCGAGAAUGGAAAUAUUGGAUUGUCUCAAGAUGUUGCUGCAGCAAUUCCGGUGUGUUGGCCAUGCUGCUCGAGCAGCUCGAAAUUUUUUUGACUAGGACAAACGACCGGGUGAUGGGUUCAUACAAUCAAACCCACAGGAGGUGUCCAUUGCCCGGAACGAUAUUCCGCUGAUGAUUUCACGAUCACUAGCAGAACUUCAUCGAAAAUGUCUGCCAACCUUUCGGGUAAUUCAAUCGGUGGCGAAGUUACGUACGGGUACAUCUAGGAACAGUUAGUAUCACUGUUUUGGUUUAUGCUGAACCAGCAGCUCCGUCUAGUAGAGUGGAUUCUGUUUUAUUUUUAUUUUUUAAGUUUAAAUUUUGUUUUGUUUUCAUUUUGGGCUUAAAAUAAAGAUCAUUUUUAAACUUUU